UACGUAGGGACCAAGCGUUGUUCGGAUUUACUGGGCGUAAAGGGCGCGUAGGCGGCGUGACAAGUCACUUGUGAAAUCUCUGAGCUUAACUCAGAACGGCCAAGUGAUACUGCAGUGCUAGAGUGUGGAAGGGGCAAUCGGAAUUCUUGGUGUAGCGGUGAAAUGCGUAGAUAUCAAGAGGAACACCUGAGGUGAAGACGGGUUGCUGGGCCAACACUGACGCUGAGGCGCGAAAGCCAGGGGAGCAAACGGG
rnacentral:rRNA from 1 species